rfam:Culex pipiens quinquefasciatus supercont3.387 genomic scaffold, whole genome shotgun sequence.
GGCUCUGUAGCUUAAUGGUUACGGCUUCUGCCUCACAAGCAGAAGGUUCAGGGAUCAAAUCCCGGUCAGUACCU